rnacentral:rRNA from 1 species
UUCCGAUGAUCCUGCCGGACCCCACUGCUAUCGGAUAGACUAGACAUGCUAGUGAGCGCUCCAGCCACACGGGAGCGCAGCGCACAGCUCAGUACACGUGGCUAAUCUGCCUUGGGACCGGAACACCCCCCGGGGAACUGGGGCUAAUUCUCGAUAGGUGAAGAACUCUGGAAUGAGUCUUGCCAAAAAGAUGCUAGAGUUAUGCUCUUUGGCAUCGCCCAAGGAUGAGGCCGCGACCGAUCAGGUUGUUGGUGAGGUAAUGGCUCACCAAGCCUUUUACCGGUGCGGGCCGUGAGAGCGGGAGCCCGGAGAUGGGCACUGAGACAAGGGCCCAGGCCCUACGGGGCGCAGCAGUCGCGAAACCUUUGCAAUACACGAAAGUGUGACAGGGCUAUCCCGAGUGCCAUCCGCUGAGGAAGGCUUUUACCCAGUCUAUAACGCUGGGGGAAUAAGGAGAGGGCAAGUCUGGUGUCAGCCGCCGCGGUAAUACCAGCUCUCCGAGUGGUGUGGAUGUUUAUUGGGCCUAAAGCAUCCGUAGCUGGCUAAGUUAGUCCCUUGUUAAAUCCACCGAAUUAAUCGUUGGAUUGCGGGGGAUACUGCUUGGCUAGGGGACGAGAGAGGCAGACGGUAUUUCCGGGGUAGGGGUGAAAUCCUAUAAUCCCGGGAAGACCACCAGUGGCGAAGGCUGUCUGCUAGAACGCGCCCGACGGUGAGGGAUGAAAGCUGGGGGAGCGAACCGGAUUAGAUACCCGGGUAGUCCCAGCUGUAAACGAUGCAGGCUAGGUGUUUGGACGGCCACGUGCCGUUCUAGUGCCGCAGGGAAGCUGUUAAGCCUGCCGCCUGGGGAGUACGAUCGCAAGAUUGAAACUUAAAGGAAU